rnacentral:sRNA from 1 species
GGCUGAGCGGGGUCCAAAACAUUGCUGACCACCCUGAAAGCAGGACUUGACCUUGGGCUGUUUGAGGACAGAUGUCCUUCACUGGUUGUGGUGGUACGUGCCUGUAGUCCCAGCUACUCAGGAAGCUGAGGCAGGAGAAUCGCUUGAACCUGGGAGGCGGAGGUUUCAGUGAGCCGAGAUCUGGCCACUGCACUCCAGCCUGGCGGCAGAGCGAGACUCCAUCAAAAAAAAAAAAAAAGCUAGUGCAAACGUGGCAGUCUUUCAGCUCAGCCCUGCAGAAAAGAAAGUGAUUUUCCCAGGAACUCUUAUCUUAUGUAGUCUGAACUUUUCCGCAGAGCUGUCUGGUAGUGUCGUAGCCGUGACGGAGAAGGCCAUGGGGGCCUGGAAUCUCCUUGCUGUGCUCUGCGGCCCCAGCCCUCUGUGGACGCGUGAUGCAAGAGUUUUUAAAGAGUAACUUUCUUUUGUCCUUCUUUAUGAUACAGACCCCAGUCCCUCCUUUAAAAUACCGGCUUGUGCUGUAAUUUCAACUUUGCCUUUUGCCCUUUGACCAUCUGUGUGACAAGAAAGCCAUUCCGAUGGUUCAGUAGGCACCCGCUGAGGCUGGGUCCCCACAGAUCCUGCUUGAGGUGCUGGUGGGGACAGCCCGCCCUCUGCUGUGUGCCGUGAUCCCAGCUGGAGCUGCUGCACAUCCAGAGGGAGCCGCCUCAGUCACACUCCAGCAGACAGGUGCAAAUGGAGUGAUGCAGACAGAGAGAAAGCAAAUCACACCUCAAGAUUUAUUUUCUUUCUAGAAACACCCGUCGGGCAGCAGAGGUCUGGAUGGAUGAAUACAAAAAUUUCUAUUAUGCAGCAGUGCCUUCCGCUAGAAACGUUCCUUAUGGAAACAUUCAGAGCAGAUUGGAGCUUAGGAAGAAACUCAGCUGCAAGCCUUUCAAAUGGUACCUUGAAAAUGUCUAUCCAGAGUUAAGGGUUCCAGACCAUCAGGAUAUAGCUUUUGGGGCUUUGCAGCAGGGAACUAACUGCCUCGACACUUUGGGACACUUUGCUGAUGGUGUGGUUGGAGUUUAUGAAUGUCACAAUGCUGGGGGAAACCAGGAAUGGGCCUUGACGAAGGAGAAGUCGGUGAAGCACAUGGAUUUGUGCCUUACUGUGGUGGACCGGGCACCGGGCUCUCUUAUAAAGCUGCAGGGCUGCCGAGAAAAUGACAGCAGACAGAAAUGGGAACAGAUCGAGGGCAACUCCAAGCUGAGGCACGUGGGCAGCAACCUGUGCCUGGACAGUCGCACGGCCAAGAGCGGGGGCCUGAGCGUGGAGGUGUGUGGGCCAGCCCUUUCGCAGCAGUGGAAGUUCUCGCUCAACCUGCAGCAGUAGGAGGGUCCGGGAGGCCCUGCCGUCCUGUCUCCUGCACCAUCGGGUGGAGUCUGGUGAUCACAUUAUUGAUUAUGUUUCUUAAACUUUCUGCGAAACUAAUAUACCUCAGUAUUCCAUCAUGGUCUGAAAGUCGAACUUCGGCAAGGCACGGACGACUGUGCAGACACAGCAGCGGCAAGAAGCGAGAACUGCCCUCCCCCUCCUCUCGGUGCAGCCCAGCCGGGCCCCCUUCCCCAGGCCGGAGCGCCCCUCUUCCUUCCAGCUUUCACUUCGGCCGGCUCUGCAACUGAGUGACACCCAGUGACAACCGACCGGGGAGUGGUAGAAGCAACUGAACGGACACGUGCGAGCUGAGGACAGGGCGGGAGGAGGGGGCACGCGUGCCCCAGGGGAGCGAGAACUCUUGAAAUCUCCAUUUUCGAUCCCAUCGAAAUCACGUAUGGUUUCCACAAAGCCGAGUCAUGUCACGUGGCAGGUUUACGUCGAUAGUCCCUCUCUCUGCUCCUCCGUUCCCAGGUGUCUUCCUGGACCAGACUCCCCUCCACCUGAUGUACUUGCUAUAUUGAGGAUGAAGUUUUCUAUGGUGGGACACUAAAUAUAAAGCUCUAUAGAGAAAGAAUGUACGGUCAGUUCCCUAUGGUUUCUGUAGGUCAUCAUCAUCUUGUAAAUUCCCCACAAAGCCGUUCGCAGCUUCCGGGAGAAGGGGCCAGAGCCCGGUGGGGCCAGUUUCUCACGGAGGGAGGAGGUGGCCUUUGUCCCCUGGAGCCCGAUCAGCCAGUUGGUGCUACUGCUGUGGCCAGCUGGGGGGCUUCCUCCAGACCACCGGCCUCGGCCCCGGCAUCCCUGUUGGGCGUCAGUCAACCUGAGAGUCACUACUGUGUGUCAGAAUCCACUUUGCGUGUUGUGCGUAUCUGUGAACCUGGAGGGGUUACUUAUUUUGACAGAUAUCACUUUGGGUCUUUUUACAUUAAAUUUCUUUUCUCUAAGGAAUAUAAGACAUACCCCAUAGCUCUCAGUGUGAGCCAGCGAUACCGCUGCACCCUGGCGACAGGGCACACCAAUGAUGCCAGGCAGCUGUCACACGCUAGCAUUGGCCUCAUUGUGAUCUGAGGCCUGCACGCUAGGUCUUCAGAAUUAAUGGCCAGCAGUGUCAGGGGUGAGCCUGUCAGCCUGGGCACAGGCCUGGCUCACAGUCCUGCACACCUGCUGGCCUGGGGAGCUCCAGCCAGGCAGCGAGUCCUGCCCCGCCCGCAGCCCCCUCCCACACCCAACCUGGCCAAGGUGACUGCUUCAGGGGGCUUUGGGGAAAGAAUUAGGGAGGGUCAGAACCAAACAAUGCCUACUCAUUUACGCUGAGGAUUCAGGGCAGGACACAGGAGCCUUGGGGUCCUGUUAAACCACAGAUGGUUAUGAACUGAAAGUCAUAACGGGGAGAGGUGCCUGGCGUCUGCCUGGGUGCUCAGGAAUGUUCCUCGUCACCCCUGCCACUCUGUGGUCGGUGCCCUGCUUCCUCCUCCACUCCCGGCCGCCUUCUCCAGCGCCACACACACAGAUGCUCAGUCUCAGAGAGGCUGGCAUGGCUGGCAGUCUGAGAAAAGCGUCAGAUAGGCACACCUGCAGGCUCCUCGGAGGGACAGCGGCGGCCUUGGAGUUAGGAGCCGUCCUGGGAGGUUGUGCCAGUGCCAUGCUCCUCCCUGUGUCUUGUACGAAAGGGGCCACUGUGUGUCUUCCUCCCCGGCAGGGGCCCCACGGGUGUGCACUAUAGGACAGCGGCCCCGAGGUGGAAGCCUGGCUGGAGGGCUGCUCUGUAGGUCUUCUCUUCCCGCCUCCCCUGCUGCGCAACCAGAUGUGUUCUGAGUGGGCAGCGUGGCCCCACGCUGGAGUAACUCCGCACGCUUCCGUCUUUCACGGUGGGCGCUUGGGGGGAGCCUGAGGAAAACCCCCUUAGGUACCUGUGCGAGGCUGUGGAAUGCAGGCCAGAGCAGGGCGUGCUUAGCCCCCAGCACCCAGGUUCUUUUGUCAGACCCUGUCACCUGCGAGCUGCUACUACUGUAAGGAGGGAAAAAAAAUUGAUGAAUCUGGCUUGUUUUAAAAUCACGUUUUUUGAUGAAUCCUUUGCCCCCACACCUUUACCCCGCCCGCACCCCUAGGCCCUCUCAGCCUUCGUAUCAUCGGAUGUGUCUACCCAGACCCUUGUGCGGCCCAUGCCCUGGGGGGCAGCGUCCUGUCCCUGAGCUGGGGGGCGGCUUUGGAUGGUCUGGGCGUCAAGAGCAGGGGUGGGCUGGGGAGGGGUCCUUUGCGGUGAGCUAUGUUUACAUGACACAGUGUGCCAAAGUGACUUACUGUGGUUGCGUUAUUUUUUAGUCAUCAGGACUAUCUCACCCUCCCACUCCUGUUUUUAAAACUCAGAAUUCUUUCCUAAGAGCCCUUCGAGCAAAGCGUGCCGAAGUUAGUUGUCCUCUCUGUGGUGGUCCUUUCUUAUGUCUUCAUAAAAGCUCAGAUGAUGGUAUCUGUGAGUAUGUUUUGCAAAUUCAAAAUAUAGUUUGGUAAUUUUUUUUUCCAGUUGAUUUUUAAAAAGAACUGCUGUACAGAGCUUGUACUUUGUCCAUUUUAUAGAUGGAAACCAUCCUUGAAAAUUGUUUAACUUAAAUAAAGAGAAGAUACUUUCUA